rnacentral:rRNA from 1 species
GAUGAACGCUGGCGGCGUGCCUAAUACAUGCAAGUCGAGCGAACAGACGAGGAGCUUGCUCCUCUGACGUUAGCGGCGGACGGGUGAGUAACACGUGGAUAACCUACCUAUAAGACUGGGAUAACUUCGGGAAACCGGAGCUAAUACCGGAUAAUAUAUUGAACCGCAUGGUUCAAUAGUGAAAGACGGUUUUGCUGUCACUUAUAGAUGGAUCCGCGCCGCAUUAGCUAGUUGGUAAGGUAACGGCUUACCAAGGCGACGAUGCGUAGCCGACCUGAGAGGGUGAUCGGCCCCACUGGAACUGAGACACGGUCAAAACCCCUACGGGAGGCAGCAGUAGGGAAUCUUCCGCAAUGGGCGAAAGCCUGACGGGGCAACGCCGCGUGGGGGAUGAAGGUUUUCGGAUCGUAAAACUUUGUUUUUAGGGAAAAAAAAAUGUGUAAGUAACUAUGCCCUUUUUGACGGUACCAAAUCAAAAAGCCACGGCUAACUACGU